rnacentral:rRNA from 1 species
CCUUCGGGAACUCUGACACAGGUGCUGCAUGGCUGUCGUCAGCUCGUGUCGUGAGAUGUUGGGUUAAGUCCGUAACGAGCGCAACCCUUGUCCUUAGUUACCAGCACGUUAUGGUGGGCACUCUAAGGAGGACUGCCGGUGACAAACCGGAGGAAGGUGGGGGAUGACGUCAAGUCAUCAUGGCCCUUACGGCCUGGGCUACACACGUGCUACAAUGGUCGGUACAAAGGGUUGCCAAGCCGCGAGGUGGAGCUAAUCCCAUAAAACCGAUCGUAGUCCGGAUCGCAGUCUGCAACUCGACUGCGUGAAGUCGGAAUCGCUAGUAAUCGUGAAUCAGAAUGUCACGGUGAAUACGUUCCCGGGCCUU